rnacentral:rRNA from 1 species
UACGGGGGGAGCAAGCGUUGUUCGGAUUUACUGGGCGUAAAGGGCGCGUAGGUGGUGGCUUAAGCGUGCGGUGAAAGCUCGGGGCUCAACCCCGAGUCGGCCGUGCGAACUGGGCUCACUGGAGCAUAGUAGAGGCAGGUGGAAUUCCGGGUGUAGCGGUGGAAUGCGUAGAGAUCCGGAAGAACACCGGUGGCGAAGGCGGCCUGCUGGGCUAUGGCUGACACUGAGGCGCGACAGCGUGGGGAGCAAACAGG